AGCAGCCGCGGUAAUUCCAGCUCCAAUAGCGUAUAUUAAAGUUGUUGCAGUUAAAAAGCUCGUAGUUGAACUUCGGAAUUUGUUCAUUGGUCAGGCUUAACUGUCUGUACUGGUGUUACGAAUUUCUACCUUCUGAGGAAUCCUCAUGCCAUUAAUUUGGUGCGGGGGGAAUCAGGACUGUUACUUUGAAAAAUUAGAGUGUUUAAAGCAGGCUAACGUCUGAAUACAUUAGCAUGGAAUAAUAAAAUAGGACGGUUUGGUUCCAUUUUGUUGGUUUCUAGGAUCACCGUAAUGAUUAAUAGGGAUAGUUGGGGGCAUUAGUAUUCAAUUGUCAGAGGUGAAAUUCUUGGAUUUAUUGAAGACUAACUACUGCGAAAGCAUUUGCCAAGGAUGUUUUCAUUAAUCAAGAACGAAAGUUAGGGGAUCGAAGAUGAUCAGAUACCGUCGUAGUCUUAACCAUAAACUAUGCCGACUAGGGAUCGGAUGAUGUUAAAUUUUUUUUAAUGUACUCAUUCGGCGC
rnacentral:rRNA from 1 species